rnacentral:tRNA from 1 species
GAGCGUUAGCGUUUUAUCAAAACACGAGAGAGGCUUCCCAAGCCUGUGAGGCGGGUUCGACUCCCGUAUCUCGCUCA